rnacentral:rRNA from 1 species
UAGAGUUUGAUCCUGGCUCAGAACGACGCUGGCGGCGUGCCUAAGACAUGCAAGUCGUGCGGAAAGGCUCCUUCGGGAGCACUCGAGCGGCGCACGGGUGAGUAACGCGUGGGUAAUCUGCCUGAGGGUUCGGGACAACUCCGGGAAACUGGAGCUAAUACCGGAUAAGACCACGGGGCCUUAGGGUCCUGCGGAAAAAGGUGGCCUCUGCUUGCAAGCUACCGCCCAUUGAUGAGCCCGCGUCCCAUUAGCUAGUUGGUGGGUAAUGGCCUACCAAGGCGACGAUGGGUAGCUGGUCUGAGAGGAUGAUCAGCCACACUGGAACUGAGACACGGUCCAGACUCCUACGGGAGGCAGCAGUCGGGAAUUUUGGCAAUGGCGAAAGCCUGACCCAGCAACGCCGCGUGAGGGAUGAAGGCCCUCGGGUCGUAAACCUCUGUCGGGAGGGGAGAACGGUCGCGAUUCGAACAGGGUCGCGGCCUGACGGUACCUCCAAAGGAAGCACCGGCUAACUCCGUGCCAGCAGCCGCGGUAA